rnacentral:rRNA from 1 species
AUUGAACGCUGGCGGUAUGCUUAACAUAUGCAAGUCGAACGGCAGCACGGUAUGUAGCAAUACAUAUGGGUGGCAAGUGGCGGACGGGUGAGUAACGCGUAGGAAUCUGCCCUCAAGCGGGGGACAACCCGAGGAAACUCGGGCUAAUACCGCAUAAACUCGGAAGAGAAAAGCUGGGGUAACCUGGCACUUGAGGAGGAGCCUGCGUCUGAUUAGCUAGUUGGUAGGGUAAAGGCCUACCAAGGCGAUGAUCAGUAGCUGGUCUGAGAGGAUGACAGCCACACUGGAACUGAGACACGGUCCAGACUCCUACGGGAGGCAGCAGUGGGGAAUAUUGGACAAUGGGGGAAACCCUGAUCCAGCAAUACCGCGUGUGUGAAGAAGGCCUUCGGGUUGUAGAGCACUUUAGUUGGGGAGGAAGGUUAACAGUUUAAGAGAUGGCUAAUUUGACUGUACCCAAAGAAUAAGCACCGGCUAACUCUGUGCCAGCCGCCGCUGUAA